rnacentral:tRNA from 1 species
CAUACAGUAGUAUAAGUGUACAUGUGAUUUUGGUUCACAAGGUGUGGUGUUCCAUCUGUAUAA